rnacentral:rRNA from 1 species
UACGGGGGAGCAAGCGUUGUUCGGAUUUACUGGGCGUAAAGGGCGCGUAGGCGGCCACUGCAAGUCAGUUGUGAAAUCUCCGGGCUUAACCCGGAAAGGUCAACUGAUACUGCAGGGCUAGAGUGCAGAAGGGGCAACUGGAAUUCUCGGUGUAGCGGUGAAAUGCGCAGAUAUCAGGAGGAACACCGAUGGCGAAGGCAGGUCUCGUGGGACAUUAACUGACGCUGAGGAGCGGAAAGCAUGGGGAGCGAACA